rnacentral:lncRNA from 1 species
AACACAAUCGAAUAAGCACCUUCAAGCUUCUCACAUGCAUCAACAAUUCUUAAAAUAAAAGGUCUAUGCUUUGAAGUAGCAAUCAAAUGAAGAACAACUUCAGUAUCAGAAGUAGUGUUAAAAAUCGAACCUUUUUCUUCAAGCUUAGCUCUUAAAGUACGAUAAUUAACUAAAUUACCGUUAUGAGCAACACCAACAGAACCAAAACGGUACCCAGCAACAAAAGGUUGAACAUUCUUCAACAUGGACUGUCCAGCAGUAGAAUAACGAACAUGGCCGAUGGCUAAGCUUCCGGGUAACUGAUCGAGUUUGGUUUCGUUGAAGACAUCGGAGACAAGACCAACACCGGUGAUGGAUUGAAGAACGUUGUUGUUAACGGUGACGAUUCCAGCGCCUUCUUGGCCGCGGUGUUGGAGAGCGUGGAGGGCUAAGUAGCAGAGACGGGAGGCUUCUGAGUCGCCGUAGAUACCAACAACGCCGCACUCUUCACGAGGCUUGUCGUCGUUGAUGAAAACAACCUCGUCUUGUGGGUGGUUUUUGUUGGAGAGGAUGAUGUCGGAAAUUGGGUUUUUGGAGGAGGAAGUGAGGAAAAGGGGGUUUCGCUAAGGAAGAAGAGAGAGUUUGAGUUGCGGCCAUUGUUAUGCGAAAGAGAAGAGUGAGGAAGACUUGGAUGACAAAGUCAGUUCUAGGUUUUCAGUGUUACUUUAGUUUAGGGCGCCCAAAAUGCCACCACUAUUCAUUUUUCUUUUGU